rnacentral:rRNA from 1 species
GACGAACGCUGGCGGCGUGCUUAACACAUGCAAGUCGAACGGAUAGGCCCUGCUUUUGUGGGGUGCUCGAGUGGCGAACGGGUGAGUAACACGUGAGUAACCUGCCCUUGACUUUGGGAUAACUUCAGGAAACUGGGGCUAAUACCGGAUAGGAGCUCCUGCUGCAUGGUGGGGGUUGGAAAGUUUCGGCGGUUGGGGAUGGACUCGCGGCUUAUCAGCUUGUUGGUGGGGUAGUGGCUUACCAAGGCUUUGACGGGUAGCCGGCCUGAGAGGGUGACCGGCCACAUUGGGACUGAGAUACGGCCCAGACUCCUACGGGAGGCAGCAGUGGGGAAUAUUGCACAAUGGGCGGAAGCCUGAUGCAGCAACGCCGCAUGCGGGAUGACGGCCUUCGGGUUGUAAACCGCUUUCGCCUGUGACGAAGCGUGAGUGACGGUAAUGGGUAAAGAAGCACCGGCUAACUACGUG